UGCUACACGUCUCGCCGUGUAGCGUGUUCUUGGGCCGCCUGGUGCGGGCUGCCUUGGGACACGCUCAUAUGCACACUUGGCAGCAGGUCACGUGCAGACCACCCUGUCCCAAGGGAGCCCCACCCCAGGGAGAAUGUGGUCCCCAGUGUGGGGCUGACCUCGAGGGGGUGGGGUGCAGGUCUGAGGAUGCGGGGGUGCCGAGGCCCAGGGGGCAGGCAGGCGCUCCUUGGGGACUGUCGGCUCCUGGUCGGUCUGUGCUGGGUGGACAACCCUGGCCGGGCGGGGGGUGGAGGGGGGCAGGUCACCCCAGGGUCGAGCGCUGGGUCACGGGACACAUUCGUUCUGGGGCUGUAGCUGUUUCUGUUGUGACUUGACUAGAACACCGUUUGCAAUUGUUUGUAUUUCAUUAUAAAAAUAAAGCCUCGCUUCCGCUGUGCGGCCCUGCA